rnacentral:rRNA from 1 species
UGGGGAAUAUUGCGCAAUGGGGGGAACCCUGACGCAGCCAUGCCGCGUGAAUGAAGAAGGCCUUCGGGUUGUAAAGUUCUUUCGGUAUUGAGGAAGGUUGAUGUGUUAAUAGCACAUCAAAUUGACGUUAAAUACAGAAGAAGCACCGGCUAACUCCGUGCCAGCAGCCGCGGUAAUACGGAGGGUGCGAGCGUUAAUCGGAAUAACUGGGCGUAAAGGGCACGCAGGCGGUUAUUUAAGUGAGGUGUGAAAGCCCCGGGCUUAACCUGGGAAUUGCAUUUCAGACUGGGCAACUAGAGUACUUUAGGGAGGGGUAGAAUUCCACGUGUAGCGGUGAAAUGCGUAGAGAUGUGGAGGAAUACCGAAGGCGAAGGCAGCCCCUUGGGAAUGUACUGACGCUCAUGUGCGAAAGCGUGGGGAGCAAACAGGAUUAGAUACCCUGGUAGUCCACGCUGUAAACGCUGUCGAUUUGGGGGUUGGGGUUUAACUCUGGCGCCCGUAGCUAACGUGAUAAAUCGACCGCCUGGGGAGUACGGCCGCAAGGUUA